rnacentral:rRNA from 1 species
AACGGCCGUACCAUGCUGAAUAUACCGGUUCUCGUUAGAUCACCGAAGUCAAGCAUCAUUGGGCGCGGUCAGUACUUGGGUGGGUGACCACCUGGCAACACCGCGUGCCGUU